AUUGCCCUCGAAUAACCGGAGAUGAAAACUGCUUAGCAACCUUCGGUUCAGACAGGGGCGAACAGUAAGGGAGAGGUAUAUGCGUGGUUUAUUAAACCUGCUCUAUACAGCUCCUUCCCGAAUCA